GAUGAACGCUGGCGGCGUGCCUAAUACAUGCAAGUCGAGCGAACAGACGAGUAGCUUGCUCCUCUGACGGUAGCGGCGGACGGGUGAGUAACACGUGGAUAACCUACCUAUAAGACUGGGAUAACUUCGGGAAACCGGAGCUAAUACCGGAUAAUAUAUUGAACCGCAUGGUUCAAUAGUGAAAGACGGUUUUGCUGUCACUUAUAGAUGGAUCCGCGCCGCAUUAGGUAGUUGGUAAGGUAACGGCUUACCAAGGCGACGAUGCGUAGCCGACCUGAGAGGGUGAUCGGCCACACUGGAACUGAGACACGGUCCAGACUCCUACGGGAGGCAGCAGUAGGGAAUCUUCCGCAAUGGGCGAAAGCCUGACGGAGCAACGCCGCGUGAGUGAUGAAGGUCUUCGGAUCGUAAAACUCUGUUAUUCGGGAAGAACAAAUGUGUAAGUAACUAUGCACGUCUUGACGGUACCUAAUCAGAAAGCCACGGCUAACUACGUG
rnacentral:rRNA from 1 species